rnacentral:rRNA from 1 species
ACGAACGCUGGCGGCGUGCCUAAUACAUGCAAGUAGAACGCUGAAGGAGGAGCUUGCUUCUCUGGAUGAGUUGCGAACGGGUGAGUAACGCGUAGGUAACCUGCCUGGUAGCGGGGGAUAACUAUUGGAAACGAUAGCUAAUACCGCAUAAUAGUAGAUGUCGCAUGACAUUUGCUUAAAAGGUGCAAUUGCAUCACUACCAGAUGGACCUGCGUUGUAUUAGCUAGUUGGUGAGGUAACGGCUCACCAAGGCAACGAUACAUAGCCGACCUGAGAGGGUGAUCGGCCACACUGGGACUGAGACACGGCCCAGACUCCUACGGGAGGCAGCAGUAGGGAAUCUUCGGCAAUGGACGGAAGUCUGACCGAGCAACGCCGCGUGAGUGAAGAAGGUUUUCGGAUCGUAAAGCUCUGUUGUAAGAGAAGAACGAGUGUGAGAGUGGAAAGUUCACACUGUGACGGUAUCUGACCAGAAAGGGACGGCUAACUACGUG